rnacentral:rRNA from 1 species
AGGGCACCACCAGGAGUGGAGCCUGCGGCUUAAUUUGACUCAACACGGGAAAACUCACCCGGCCCGGACACUGGAAGGAUUGACAGAUUGAGAGCUCUUUCUUGAUUCAGUGGGUGGUGGUGCAUGGCCGUUCUUAGUUGGUGGAGUGAUUUGUCUGGUUAAUUCCGAUAACGAACGAGACUCUAGCCUAUUAAAUAGAUCGUUGGCUUACAAACGCCGGCGAGACUUCUUAGAGGGACAGGCGGCGAUUCAGCCGCACGAAACAGAGCAAUAACAGGUCUGUGAUGCCCUUAGAUGUCCGGGGCCGCACGCGCGCUACACUGAAGUGAUCAGCGUGCAUUUUGAAACCUACUCUGUCAAGAGUGGGGAACCCAAUGAACCUUCUUCGUGAUUGGGAUAGGGGAUUGUAAUUAUUCCCCUUGAACGAGGAAUUCCCAGUAAGCGCGAAUCAUAAGUUUGCGCUGAUUACGCCCCUGCCCUUUGUACACACCGCCCGUCGCUACUACCGAUUGAAUGUUU